rnacentral:lncRNA from 1 species
CCCAUUUAAAGUAAACAGUUGAUAGAAAAAGGAAUAGUUUUACCAUUGUAUUCGACAAAGUAGGUUGAGAUCUUCUCAAAGCCAUAAAAUAUGUCCAUAAGAGAAAACUGGAAUUCAAGAAAUGGAAUACCAGGUAUUUAAGCUAAUUAGUCGAAAACAAAUUGACAACCUAAUGACAGAUAUAGAGAAAAAAAAAGGCCAAAGACAAACAACAAUUCACAAAACACAAGAUGAAAAAUAAAGAAUGCAUAACAUGAAUCCCACCAAAACAGGGGUGAUCAAAGAAACUCCGGAAGGGUAAGCAGACCCAGGUCAAUAUGUGGCACCCGUUGUUGUCUCAUUUUGGUAUGUAUUUUGUGUUAAGUCUAUUCGGUAGGUCAAUUUCAAGGAAAAUUUAGACAGUAUUGUCGGUUAUCCGUCGUUAUUUUUGAAACAUAAAGGCAACAGAAAACUGUUGUAUACCGCUGUUCAUUUGUGAAACAGAUAUUCCAUAACGUUCAACGAACUACUAAUGCUUUCUGUUAAAUUUUCAAAGUGAUGACUUCAACUGCAC